UGCGUAGAGAUGUGGAGGAAUACCGGUGGCGAAGGCGGCCUUCUGGACAAAUACUGACGCUGAGAUGCGAAAGCGUGGGGAGCAAACAGGAUUAGAUACCCUGGUAGUCCACGCUGUAAACGAUGUCGAUUUGGAGUUUGGUGGCAUGACUGCUGGGCUCCGAAGCUAACGCGUUAAAUCGACCGCCUGGGGAGUACGGCCGCAAGGUUAAAACUCAAAUGAAUUGACGGGGGCCCGCACAAGCGGUGGAGCAUGUGGUUUAAUUCGAUGCAACGCGAAGAACCUUACCUGGUCUUGACAUCCACAGAAUUUUGUAGAGAUACGAAAGUGCCUUAGGGAGCUGUGAGACAGGUGCUGCAUGGCUGUCGUCAGCUCGUGUUGUGGAAUGUUGGGUUAAGUCCCGCAACGAGCGCAACCCUUAUCCUUUGUUGCCAUCGGUUAGGCCGGGAACUCAAAGGAGACUGCNGUUGAUAAAGCGGAGGAAGGUGGGGACGACGUCAAGUCAUCAUGGCCCUUACGACCAGGGCUACACACGUGCUACAAUGGCGCAUACAAAGAGAAGCAAACCAGCGAUGGCAAGCGGACCUCAUAAAGUGCGUCUAAGUUCGGAUUGGAGUCUGCAACUCGACUCCAUGAAGUCGGAAUCGCUAGUAAUCGUGAAUCAGAAUGUCACGGUGAAUACGUUCCCGGGCCUUGUACACACCGCCCGUC
rnacentral:rRNA from 1 species